CCUACGGGAGGCAGCAGUGGGGAAUAUUGCACAAUGGGGGAAACCCUGAUGCAGCGACGCCGCGUGAGUGAAGAAGUAUUUCGGUAUGUAAAGCUCUAUCAGCAGGGAAGAAAAUGACGGUACCUGACUAAGAAGCCCCGGCCAACUCCGUGCCAGCAGCCGCGGUCAUACGGAGGGGGCAAGCGUUAUCCGGAUUUACUGGGUGUAAAGGGAGCGUAGGUGGCAUGGUAAGCCAGAAGUGAAAACCCAGGGUUCAACUCUGUGGAUUGCUUUUGGAACUAUCAAGCUAGAGUGCUGGAGGGGUAAGCGGAAUUCCUAGUGUAGCGGUGAAAUGCGUAGAUAUUAGGAGGAACACCGGUGGCGAAGGCGACUUACUAGACAGAAACUGACACUGAGGCUCGAAAGCGUGGGGAGCAAACAGGAUUAGAUACCCUAGUAGUC
rnacentral:rRNA from 1 species